UGGGGAAUAUUGGACAAUGGGGGGAACCCUGAUCCAGCCAUGCCGCGUGUGUGAAGAAGGCCUUAUGGUUGUAAAGCGCUUUAAGCGAGGAGGAGGGUACUGGUAUUAAUACUACCAGGUACUGGACGUUACUCGCAGAAUAAGCACCGGCUAACUCUGUGCCAGCAGCCGCGGUAAUACAGAGGGUGCGAGCGUUAAUCGGAUUUACUGGGCGUAAAGCGUGCGUAGGCGGCUAAUUGAGUCGGAUGUGAAAUCCCCGAGCUUAACUUGGGAAUUGCAUUCGAUACUGGUUAGCUAGAGUGUGGGAGAGGAUGGUAGAAUUCCAGGUGUAGCGGUGAAAUGCGUAGAGAUCUGGAGGAAUACCGAUGGCGAAGGCAGCCAUCUGGCCUAACACUGACGCUGAGGUACGAAAGCAUGGGGAGCAAACAGG
rnacentral:rRNA from 1 species